rnacentral:sRNA from 1 species
UGUGGCAUCGAUGCUCUGUGACGACGAGU